UACAGAGGGGGCAAGCGUUGUUCGGAAUUACUGGGCGUAAAGGGCGCGUAGGCGGCCUUCUAAGUCGAACGUGAAAUCCCUGGGCUCAACCUUGGAACUGCCUUUGAUACUGUUCGUCUUGAGUCCGGGAGAGGUGAGUGGAACUGCGAGUGUAGAGGUGAAAUUCGUAGAUAUUCGCAAGAACACCAGUGGCGAAGGCGGCUCACUGGCCCGGAACUGACGCUGAGACGCGAAAGCGUGGGGAGCAAACAGG
rnacentral:rRNA from 1 species